rnacentral:rRNA from 1 species
UACGUAGGGUGCGAGCGUUGUCCGGAAUCAUUGGGCGUAAAGCGCGCGUAGGCGGCCCUGUAAGUCCGUUGUGAAAGUCAAAGGCUCAACCUUUGAAAGCCGAUGGAUACUGCGGAGCUAGAGUACGGAAGAGGCGAGUGGAAUUCCUGGUGUAGCGGUGGAAUGCGCAGAUAUCAGGAGGAACACCAAUAGCGAAGGCAGCUCGCUGGGACGUUACUGACACUGAGGCGCGAAAGCGUGGGGAGCGAACAGG